rnacentral:rRNA from 1 species
UACGUAGGGGGCAAGCGUUGUCCGGAUUUAUUGGGCGUAAAGAGCGUGUAGGCGGCUAGGUAGGUCCGUUGUGAAAACUCGAGGCUCAACCUCGAGCUGUCGAUGGAAACCAUCUAGCUAGAGUCCGGAAGAGGAGAGUGGAAUUCCUGGUGUAGCGGUGAAAUGCGCAGAUAUCGGGAGGAACACCUAUGGCGAAGGCAGCUCGCUGGGACGUUACUGACGCUGAGACGCGAAAGCGUGGGGAGCAAACAGG